ACGUGAUCUGAGUUCAGACCGGAGUAAUCCAGGUCAGUUUCUAUCUAUAAAGGGCUUUUUCUAGUACGAAAGGACCGAAAAAGCAUGGCCAAUGAUUAAUUAAGCCAUAUUAUUAACUUAUGACCACAGCUUAAUUAUUAAAAUACCUUUUAUUUUUCUUAAGAUAAGAGAA
rnacentral:rRNA from 1 species